rnacentral:lncRNA from 1 species
CAUCUUGCCAAUUUCUUAGUACCUCUCUAACUUUCUUAGGCUGGCCUUGAACUUGUGAUCCUCUUGACUUAGCCUCUCAGGUUGCUGGGAUUAUAGGUGUGCACCACUGUAUCCAGCUGGUUCAAAAAAUUGGAAGACUGUUUCUUCAUCUGUAAGAUGAAGAUAAAAUUUGUAAUCAUUGUACUAUUUCCAACCUCAUAGGGUUAUUAUAGAAUUAAAUCAGAUAAAAAUCGUAGCCUAUUUCCUGAGAUAGCAAAUCUCAGUGGACAAUCAUAGGAAAAUGUAUAUUCAAAAUGUUGCUGACAGUAAGGAGGUUGCAGUGAUCAGCCAUGGAAAUUCUUGAUCCUAAAAUUAAAAGUCCUCAUUUUAAUCAAAUCAAAUGAAAAAUUCAAUUCCAUAGAUUGAGGUAAAACCAUCCUUUUGAUAACCUCCAGCUCAUACUUUCCUAAAUACAUUGCUUUCUUAGGCUCAGGGGAAUUUAAUGAAUUGUCCAAGGUCAACCUAAUCAAUAAAAUGCUACUAUUAC